rnacentral:rRNA from 1 species
UACGUAGGGUGCAAGCGUUGUCCGGAAUUAUUGGGCGUAAAGAGCUCGUAGGCGGUUUGUCGCGUCUGCUGUGAAAACCCGAGGCUCAACCUCGGGCCUGCAGUGGGUACGGGCAAACUAGAGUGUGGUAGGGGAGACUGGAAUUCCUGGUGUAGCGGUGAAAUGCGCAGAUAUCAGGAGGAACACCGAUGGCGAAGGCAGGUCUCUGGGCCACUACUGACGCUGAGAAGCGAAAGCAUGGGGAGCGAACAGG